rnacentral:rRNA from 1 species
AACGCACAUUGCGCUCUCUGGUAUUCCGGAGAGCAUGCUUGUUUGAGUAUCAGUAAAACACCCUCAGCUUCUGUCUCUUUUGAGACGGGAACUGGACUUGAGCGAUCCCAACGGCAGUAGAUCUUUCUACUAUCGGCGGGUUGCUUGAAAUGCAGGUGCGGCUGGACACAUCUUCUGAGCUAUAAGCAUUACUUAUUUAGUCCCGUUAGACGGACUAUUACUAUUGCUACAGCUAAUAUAAAGGUCGAUUGUCCGUUUUGCCCGACUGAUGCAGGAAUUGUCAGAGGCUCUGUCCUUUGUUCAACUCGAUCUCAAAUCAAGUAAGACUACCCGCUGAACUUAA